ACGGAGGGUGCGAGCGUUGUUCGGAAUCACUGGGCGUAAAGCGCGUGUAGGCGGUCUGUUAAGUCUGAUGUGAAAGCCCGGGGCUCACCCCCGGAAGUGCAUUGGAAACUGACAGACUGGAGUCCCGGAGAGGAGGGUGGAAUUCCUGGUGUAGCGGUGAAAUGCGUAGAUAUCAGGAGGAACACCGGUGGCGAAGGCGGCCCUCUGGACGG
rnacentral:rRNA from 1 species